rnacentral:rRNA from 1 species
UAGCAUAUACUAAAGUUGCUGCAGUUAAAAAGCUCGUAGUUGGAUCUCGGGAGCGGGCCGGCGGUCCGCCCCGGACCCCUGCCUCACGGCGCCCCCCGGAUGCCCUUAACUGGGUGUCCGGUCCUCGGGGCCCGACGCGUUUACUUUGAAAAAAUAAGAGUGUUCAAAGCAGGCCACCCGUCGCUGCUGAAUACCGUASCUAGGAAUAAUGGAAUAGGACUCCGGUUCUAUUUUGUGGGUUUCUGGAACCCGGGGCCAUGAUUGAGAGGGACGGCCGGGGGCAUUCGUAUUGCGCCACUAGAGGUGAAAUUCUUGGACCGGCACAAGACGGACGRAA